rnacentral:rRNA from 1 species
GAUGAACGCUGGCGGCGUGCCUAAUACAUGCAAGUCGAGCGAACGGACGAGAAGCUUGCUUCUCUGAUGUUAGCGGCGGACGGGUGAGUAACACGUGGAUAACCUACCUAUAAGACUGGGAUAACUUCGGGAAAUCGGAGCUAAUACCGGAUGAUAUUUUGAACCGCAUGGUUCAAAAGUGAAAGACGGUCUUGCUGUCACUUAUAGAUGGAUCCGCGCUGCAUUAGCUAGUUGGUAAGGUAACGGCUUACCAAGGCAACGAUGCAUAGCCGACCUGAGAGGGUGAUCGGCCACACUGGAACUGAGACACGGUCCAGACUCCUACGGGAGGCAGCAGUAGGGAAUCUUCCGCAAUGGGCGAAAGCCUGACGGAGCAACGCCGCGUGAGUGAUGAAGGUCUUCGGAUCGUAAAACUCUGUUAUUAGGGAAGAACGUAUGUGUAAGUAACUGUGCACAUCUUGACGGUACCUAAUCAGAAAGCCACGGCUAACUACGUG